rnacentral:rRNA from 1 species
GGACUACCCGGGUAUCUAAUCCUGUUUGCUCCCCACGCUUUCGUGCUUCAGUGUCAGUGCUGGUCCAGGUAGCCGCCUUCGCCACUGGUGUUCCUCCCGAUCUCUACGCAUUUCACUGCUACACCGGGAAUUCCACUACCCUCUACCGCACUCUAGCUGUCCAGUAUCCACUGCCAUUCCCAGGUUGAGCCCGGGGCUUUCACAGCAGACUUAAACAACCACCUACGCACCCUUUACGCCCAGUAAUUCCGAGUAACGCUUGCACCCUUCGUAUUACCGCGGCUGCUGGCAC